rnacentral:rRNA from 1 species
AUUUGUCUGGUUAAUUCCGAUAACGAACGAGACCUUAACCUGCUAACUAGUUUUGUGGAUCUUAUCCUAUAAACUUCUUAGAGGGACUAUGUAAAUCAAUUACAUGGAAGUUUGAGGCAAUAACAGGUCAGUGAUGCCCUUAUAUGUCCUGGGCUGCACGCGUGCUACACUGAUGCAUACAACAAGUGCCUAACCAGACAUGGUAUGGCAACCUCGAAUAUGCAUCGUGCUAGGGAUAGAUCUUUGCAAUUAUAGAUCUUGAACGAGGAAUUCCUAGUAAGUGCAAGUCAUCAUCUUGCAUUGAUUAUGUCCCUGCCCUUUGUACACACCGCCCGUCGCUCCUACCGAUACCGGGUGAUCCGGUGAACCUUUUGGACUCUUCACGGAGGAAGAUAAGUAAACCAUAUCACCUAGAGGAAGGAGAAGUCGUAACAAGGUUUCCGUAGGUGAACCUGCRGAAGGAUCA